rnacentral:rRNA from 1 species
GGGUUGUGAGGUUAAGCGACUAAGCGUACACGGUGGAUGCCCUGGCAGUCAGAGGCGAUGAAGGACGUGCUAAUCUGCGAUAAGCGUCGGUAAGGUGAUAUGAACCGUUAUAACCGGCGAUUUCCGAAUGGGGAAACCCAGUGUGAUUUGUCACACUAUCAUUAACUGAAUCCAUAGGUUAAUGAGGCGAACCGGGGGAACUGAAACAUCUAAGUACCCCGAGGAAAAGAAAUCAACCGAGAUUCCCCCAGUAGCGGCGAGCGAACGGGGAGGAGCCCAGAGCCUGAAUCAGUGUGUGUGUUAGUGGAAGCGUCUGGAAAGGCGCGCGAUACAGGGUGACAGCCCCGUACACAAAAAUGCACAUGCUGUGAGCUCGAUGAGUAGGGCGGGACACGUGGUAUCCUGUCUGAAUAUGGGGGGACCAUCCUCCAAGGCUAAAUACUCCUGACUGACCGAUAGUGAACCAGUACCGUGAGGGAAAGGCGAAAAGAACCCCGGCGAGGGGAGUGAAAAAGAACCUGAAACCGUGUACGUACAAGCAGUGGGAGCACGCUUCGGCGUGUGACUGCGUACCUUUUGUAUAAUGGGUCAGCGACUUAUAUUCUGUAGCAAGGUUAACCGAAUAGGGGAGCCGAAGGGAAACCGAGUCUUAACUGGGCGUUAAGUUGCAGGGUAUAGACCCGAAACCCGGUGAUCUAGCCAUGGGCAGGUUGAAGGUUGGGUAACACUAACUGGAGGACCGAACCGACUAAUGUUGAAAAAUUAGCGGAUGACUUGUGGCUGGGGGUGAAAGGCCAAUCAAACCGGGAGAUAGCUGGUUCUCCCCGAAAGCUAUUUAGGUAGCGCCUCGUGAAUUCAUCUCCGGGGGUAGAGCACUGUUUCGGCAAGGGGGUCAUCCCGACUUACCAACCCGAUGCAAACUGCGAAUACCGGAGAAUGUUAUCACGGGAGACACACGGCGGGUGCUAACGUCCGUCGUGAAGAGGGAAACAACCCAGACCGCCAGCUAAGGUCCCAAAGUCAUGGUUAAGUGGGAAACGAUGUGGGAAGGCCCAGACAGCCAGGAUGUUGGCUUAGAAGCAGCCAUCAUUUAAAGAAAGCGUAAUAGCUCACUGGUCGAGUCGGCCUGCGCGGAAGAUGUAACGGGGCUAAACCAUGCACCGAAGCUGCGGCAGCGACGCUUAUGCGUUGUUGGGUAGGGGAGCGUUCUGUAAGCCUGUGAAGGUGUGCUGUGAGGCAUGCUGGAGGUAUCAGAAGUGCGAAUGCUGACAUAAGUAACGAUAAAGCGGGUGAAAAGCCCGCUCGCCGGAAGACCAAGGGUUCCUGUCCAACGUUAAUCGGGGCAGGGUGAGUCGACCCCUAAGGCGAGGCCGAAAGGCGUAGUCGAUGGGAAACAGGUUAAUAUUCCUGUACUUGGUGUUACUGCGAAGGGGGGACGGAGAAGGCUAUGUUGGCCGGGCGACGGUUGUCCCGGUUUAAGCGUGUAGGCUGGUUUUCCAGGCAAAUCCGGAAAAUCAAGGCUGAGGCGUGAUGACGAGGCACUACGGUGCUGAAGCAACAAAUGCCCUGCUUCCAGGAAAAGCCUCUAAGCAUCAGGUAACAUCAAAUCGUACCCCAAACCGACACAGGUGGUCAGGUAGAGAAUACCAAGGCGCUUGAGAGAACUCGGGUGAAGGAACUAGGCAAAAUGGUGCCGUAACUUCGGGAGAAGGCACGCUGAUAUGUAGGUGAAGUCCCUCGCGGAUGGAGCUGAAAUCAGUCGAAGAUACCAGCUGGCUGCAACUGUUUAUUAAAAACACAGCACUGUGCAAACACGAAAGUGGACGUAUACGGUGUGACGCCUGCCCGGUGCCGGAAGGUUAAUUGAUGGGGUUAGCCGCAAGGCGAAGCUCUUGAUCGAAGCCCCGGUAAACGGCGGCCGUAACUAUAACGGUCCUAAGGUAGCGAAAUUCCUUGUCGGGUAAGUUCCGACCUGCACGAAUGGCGUAAUGAUGGCCAGGCUGUCUCCACCCGAGACUCAGUGAAAUUGAACUCGCUGUGAAGAUGCAGUGUACCCGCGGCAAGACGGAAAGACCCCGUGAACCUUUACUAUAGCUUGACACUGAACAUUGAGCCUUGAUGUGUAGGAUAGGUGGGAGGCUUAGAAGUGUGGACGCCAGUCUGCAUGGAGCCGACCUUGAAAUACCACCCUUUAAUGUUUGAUGUUCUAACGUUGACCCGUAAUCCGGGUUGCGGACAGUGUCUGGUGGGUAGUUUGACUGGGGCGGUCUCCUCCUAAAGAGUAACGGAGGAGCACGAAGGUUGGCUAAUCCUGGUCGGACAUCAGGAGGUUAGUGCAAUGGCAUAAGCCAGCUUGACUGCGAGCGUGACGGCGCGAGCAGGUGCGAAAGCAGGUCAUAGUGAUCCGGUGGUUCUGAAUGGAAGGGCCAUCGCUCAACGGAUAAAAGGUACUCCGGGGAUAACAGGCUGAUACCGCCCAAGAGUUCAUAUCGACGGCGGUGUUUGGCACCUCGAUGUCGGCUCAUCACAUCCUGGGGCUGAAGUAGGUCCCAAGGGUAUGGCUGUUCGCCAUUUAAAGUGGUACGCGAGCUGGGUUUAGAACGUCGUGAGACAGUUCGGUCCCUAUCUGCCGUGGGCGCUGGAGAACUGAGGGGGCUGCUCCUAGUACGAGAGGACCGGAGUGGACGCAUCACUGGUGUUCGGGUUGUCAUGCCAAUGGCACUGCCCGGUAGCUAAAUGCGGAAGAGAUAAGUGCUGAAAGCAUCUAAGCACGAAACUUGCCCCGAGAUGAGUUCUCCCUGACUCCUUGAGAGUCCUGAAGGAACGUUGAAGACGACGACGUUGAUAGGCCGGGUGUGUAAGCGCAGCGAUGCGUUGAGCUAACCGGUACUAAUGAACCGUGAGGCUUAACCUUACAACGCCGAAG